rnacentral:rRNA from 1 species
UACGAAGGGGGCUAGCGUUGCUCGGAAUUACUGGGCGUAAAGGGCGCGUAGGCGGACGUUUUUAAGUCGGGGGGUGAAAGCCCGGGGCUCAACCUCGGAAUUGCCUUCGAUACUGGACGUCUUGAGUACGGGAGAGGUGAGUGGAACUCCGAGUGUAGAGGUGAAAUUCGUAGAUAUUCGGAAGAACACCAGUGGCGAAGGCGACUCACUGGCCCGUUACUGACGCUGAGGCGCGAAAGCGUGGGGAGCAAACAGG